rnacentral:rRNA from 1 species
UGAGUACGAGCUGCUACGGCAGCGAAGUGGGUGAUGUCAUGCUUCCAAGAAAAGCCCUAUACCCGUUAAGGCAUGAUGGCCUGUACCCGAAACCGACACAGGUGGGGUGGUAGAGAAUACCGAGGGGCGCGAGGUAACUCUCUCUAAGGAACUCGGCGAAAUGGCCCCGUAACUUCGGGAGAAGGGGUGCCACCGCAAGGUGGUCGCAGUGAAGAGGCCCAGGCGACUGUUUACCAAAAACACAGGUCUCCGCUAAGUCGCAAGACGAUGUAUGGGGGCUGACGCCUGCCCAGUGCCGGAAGGUUAAGGAAGCUGGUCAGCGUAAGCGAAGCUAGCGACUGAAGCCCCGGUGAACGGCGGCCGUAACAAUAACGGUCCUAAGGUAGCGAAAUUCCUUGUCGGGUAAGUUCCGACCCGCACGAAAGGCGUAACGAUCUGGGCGCUGUCUCGGAGAGAGGCUCGGCGAAAUAGAAUUGUCUGUGAAGAUGCGGACUACGUGCACCCGGACAGAAAGACCCUAUGAAGCUUUACUGUAGCUUGGUAUUGUGCUCGGGCUCGGAAUGCGCACGAUAGGUGGGAGGCUAUGAACCAUUGCUUGUGGGUGAUGGUGAGCCACUGGUGAGAUACCACUCUUUCCGAGCUAGAGUUCUAACAGCCACCCGUUAUCCGGGGGCUGGACAGUAUCAGGUGGGCAGUUUGACUGGGGCGGUCGCCUCCUAAAAGGUAACGGAGGCGCGCAAAGGUUUGCUCAGGCUGGUUGGAAAUCAGCCGACGAGUGUAAAAGCAGAAGCAAGCUUGACUGUGAGACCUACAAGUCGAACAGGGAGGAAACUCGGCUUUAGUGAUCCGACGGUUCUGCGUGGAAGGGCCGUCGCUCAACGGAUAAAAGUUACUCUAGGAUAACAGGCUGAUCUCCCCCAAGAGUUCACAUCGACGGGGAGGUUUGGCACCUCGAUGUCGGCUCAUCGCAACCUGGGGCUGAAGUCGGUCCCAAGGGUUGGGCUGUUCGCCCAUUAAAGCGGUACGCGAGCUGGGUUCAGAACGUCGUGAGACAGUUCGGUCCAUAUCCGGUGCAUGCGCAGGAAUAUUGAGAGGAUUUCUCCCUAGUACGAGAGGACCGGGAGGAACGCACCUCUGGUGUACCAGUUAUCGUGCCAACGGUAAACGCUGGGUAGCCAUGUGCGGAGAGGAUAACCGCUGAAAGCAUCUAAGUGGGAAGCCCACUCAAGAUGAGUAUUCCCAUGGGGUAACCCAGUAAGGUCACGGGAAGAACACCCGUUGAUAGGCUCUACGUGGAAGCGCAGUAAUGUGUGAAGCGGAGGAGUACUAAUAGACCGAGGGCUUGAC